GAGCUUGCUCUUCGAUUCAGCGGCGGACGGGUGAGUAAUGCCUAGGAAUCUGCCUGGUAGUGGGGGACAACGUUUCGAAAGGAACGCUAAUACCGCAUACGUCCUACGGGAGAAAGCAGGGGACCUUCGGGCCUUGCGCUAUCAGAUGAGCCUAGGUCGGAUUAGCUAGUUGGUGAGGUAAUGGCUCACCAAGGCGACGAUCCGUAACUGGUCUGAGAGGAUGAUCAGUCACACUGGAACUGAGACACGGUCCAGACUCCUACGGGAGGCAGCAGUGGGGAAUAUUGGACAAUGGGCGAAAGCCUGAUCCAGCCAUGCCGCGUGUGUGAAGAAGGUCUUCGGAUUGUAAAGCACUUUAAGUUGGGAGGAAGGGCAGUAAGCUAAUACCUUGCUGUUUUGACGUUACCAACAGAAUAAGCACCGGCUAACUCUGUGCCAGCAGCCGCGGUAAUACAGAGGGUGCAAGCGUUAAUCGGAAUUACUGGGCGUAAAGCGCGCGUAGGUGGUUCGUUAAGUUGGAUGUGAAAUCCCCGGGCUCAACCUGGGAACUGCAUC
rnacentral:rRNA from 1 species